rnacentral:rRNA from 1 species
GACGAACGCUGGCGGCGUGCCUAAUACAUGCAAGUAGAACGCUGAAGAGAGGAGCUUACUCUUCUUGGAUGAGUUGCGAACGGGUGAGUAACGCGUAGGUAACCUGCCUUGUAGCGGGGGAUAACUAUUGGAAACGAUAGCUAAUACCGCAUAACAAUGGAUGACACAUGUCAUUUAUUUGAAAGGGGCAAUUGCUCCACUACAAGAUGGACCUGCGUUGUAUUAGCUAGUAGGUGAGGUACUGGCUCACCUAGGCGACGAUACAUAGCCGACCUGAGAGGGUGAGCGGCCACACUGGGACUGAGACACGGCCCAGACUCCUACGGGAGGCAGCAGUAGGGAAUCUUCGGCAAUGGGGGCAACCCUGACCGAGCAACGCCGCGUGAGUGAAGAAGGUUUUCGGAUCGUAAAGCUCUGUUGUAAGUCAAGAACGGGUGUGAGAGUGGAAAGUUCACACUGUGACGGUAGCUUACCAGAAAGGGACGGCUAACUACGUG